CUCUCAGCCUUUUGUGAGGUGUAAUUUCCACAUGUUUGAACAGAGCAUGAUCUAGCACCAUCCAUCCAGAGUCCUCCCUCACUUCUCCAAACCAGGCUCCACCUCCCUCUCUCCCUCCCUCUCUCUCCCUCCCUCUCUUUGAGCCUCUCCUACUCCAGAUGAGCGUGUCUCUCCAACAGGGCGAGCAGAUUGGAACCUGAAGGUGUGCCGUUGUUACCAGAUUUCUGUUAAAGGAAGAUUGGACGAAACCACUGAAGAAGCCAGCCGAUUGAACACUGCUGAGAGUGGAGGAAGUGUUUAAAGAGGACCUGCGGUGUCGAGUUAAAGGUGAGUCAAUGCUCAGUCCUACCCAAUAAAAGACAACUCACAGAGGAUGCAGCUCAUUCCACUUCUAAGUGUAGGUUUUUGUGUUUAAAAUGUGGUCA
rnacentral:lncRNA from 1 species